CCCUUAGAUGUUCUGGGCUGCACACGUGCUACACUGGCAGGUUCAGCGAGCUUCAUGCCCUGAUCUGAAAGGAAUGGGAAAUCUUUUCAAAACCUGCCGUGCUUGGGAUAGACGUUUGCAAUUAUUCAUCUUCAACGAGGAUUGCCUUGUAAGCGCACGUCAUCAGCGUGCAUUGAAUACGACCCUGUAUUCUGUACACACCGCCCGUCGCUCCUACCGAUUGAAGUUUUCGGUGAGUUGACAGGAGGAUUUUUUUGAAACUGGUUCGCCAGUGGAUUUUAGAUCCAAAUGCCAACGAAUCGAUGGCUUUAGAGGAAGGAGAAGUCGUAACA
rnacentral:rRNA from 1 species